rnacentral:rRNA from 1 species
GACGAACGCUGGCGGCGUGCUUAACACAUGCAAGUCGAACGGAAAGGCCCUGCUUUUGUGGGGUGCUCGAGUGGCGAACGGGUGAGUAACACGUGAGUAACCUGCCCUUGACUUUGGGAUAACUUCAGGCAACUGGGGCUAAUACCGGAUAGGAGCUCCUGCUGCAUGGUGGGGGUUGGAAAGUUUCGGCGGUUGGGGAUGGACUCGCGGCUUAUCAGCUUGUUGGUGGAGUAGUGGCUUACCAAGGCUUUGACGGGUAGCCGGCCUGAGAGGGUGACCGGCCACAUGGGGACUGAGAGACGGCGCAGACGCCUACGGGAGGCAGAAGUGGGGAAUAUGGCACAAUGGGCGGAAGUCUGAUGCAGCAACGCCGCGUGCGGGAUGACGGCCUUCGGGUUGGAAACCGCUUUCGCCUGUGACGAAGCGGGAGUGACGGUAAUGGGUAAAGAAGCACCGGCUAACUACGUG